CCCCAGACUCCUACGGGAGGCAGCAGUGGGGAAUAUUGCACAAUGGGGGGAACCCUGAUGCAGCGACGCCGCGUGGGUGAAGGAGCGUUUCGGCGCGUAAAGCCCUCUCGGCAGGGAAGAAGGAGGACGGUACCUGACUAAGAAGCCCCGGCUAACUACGUGCCAGCAGCCGCGGUAAUACGUAGGGGGCAAGCGUUAUCCGGAUUUACUGGGGGUAAAGGGGGCGCAGACGGCAAUGCAAGCCAGGAGUGGAAGCCCGGGGCCCAACCCCGGGACUGCUCUUGGAACUGCAUGGCUGGAGUACAGGAGGGGCAGGCGGAAUUCCUGGUGUAGCGGUGAAAUGCGUAGAUAUCAGGAGGAACACCGGUGGCGAAGGCGGCCUGCUGGACUGCAACUGACGUUGAGGCCCGAAAGCGUGGGGAGCAAACAGGAUUAGAUACCCGGGUAAUU
rnacentral:rRNA from 1 species